AGCUCCAAAAGCGUAUAUUAAAGUUGUUGCGGUUAAAAAGUUCGUAGUUGGAUCUCUGCUGAGGACAACUGGUCUGCCCUCUGGGUGAGUCACCUGGAAUGGCCUCAGCAUCAUCUUGGAGAACACGGCUGCACUUGACUGUGUGGUGUGGUUUUCAUGGCCUUUUACUUUGAGGAAAUUAGAGUGCUUUGAGCAGGCUCCUGUCUUGAAUACAUUAGCAUGGAAUAAUGAAUAGACAUGCAGCUCUACUUGGUUGGCUUCCGGUGCUAAUAGGGAUAGUGGGGGGCACUCGCAUUUGACUGUCAGAGGUGAAAUUCUUGGAUUUGUUGAAGACGACCUGCAGCGGAAGCAUCUGCCAAAGAUGUUUUCA
rnacentral:rRNA from 1 species